rnacentral:rRNA from 1 species
GAAAGAUGAAAAGAACUUUGAAAAGAGAGAUAAACAGUACGUGGAAUUGUUGAAAGGGAAACGAUUGAAGUCAGUCGUACCAGCGGGAAAUCAACCUUUCGAGUGGGGGUUUUGGAGUUUUGAAGAGUGUCAAAACCUUUGAGAUUUCAAAAUUUUCGCUCCUUUGGUGUACUUUCUCGUGGGUAGGUUAACAUCGAUUUUGAUCAUCAUAAGAAGAUUGGAGGAAUGUAGCUUCGAUCUUGUAUUGAAGUGUUAUA